GCACUACUGACGAGUCCCACAACAGGACGAAACGCUUAUCCAGUGC
rnacentral:hammerhead_ribozyme from 1 species